rnacentral:tRNA from 1 species
GGCCUCGCAGAGCAGAUGGAGUGCUCACCGCCCCUCGAGGCGGAGAUCGCCGGUUCGAGCCCGGCCGGGGUCA